CCAUGGGGGAUAAUUGGUCGGCUGGCCCCAAGAAGAGCUAUCCUUAUGUUUGUCUCCGGUUUCACCCAUCCGGCCCAGCACCACCCGCAUAAUGGCCAUGGCCGCCGGGAGCCUCGCCGCCGUCCCAAUCUCCAUGGGGCGUUCUCUGGCCAGAGCCGCCCAGCGACUACUCGCCGGCCCUCUCCUCCUGCAAACCCGAGAGCCCUUUCCUCUCGCUACUCUCACCCGCUCACCUUCCCGAGGGAUAUGCCAGAUAGCUCAUGCACUCAAGCCCGCCGCUGACUCGUUGCUUCAUGGGGUUGGUGACAAAAAUGUCGCCGAGGCCGUGAAGAACAUUCUUGAUAUGGCAAGACGGGCUUCAUCAAGAAGCGAGGUUCUCCAUACAGACUUUCUCACUCCGCCGAUUGUGAAAGAGUCGAUGUCGGCACUACAAAAGUUAUCUGGUAUCAGAGCAGAAGCUCAGGGUGGUUACCCACAGGCUGAACGAUGUCGCAUUUCUGUUGGACACUCGGACGCCAUGACAACUGACCCAGAUGUGGUGGCUGCUUUGAGUAUUUCAGGAAACUUUGGGUUUGAGGCUUGUUCUCACGGUGACUUCCUUGGCGCGAUUCUUGGCACUGGGAUUGUAAGAGAGAAGGUUGGAGAUAUAUUGUUGCAGGGAGAAAAGGGGGCUCAGGUCCUUGUUGUUCCAGAACUCACCGAAUUUCUUAUAUCAGCACUGGAUAAGGUUGGUAAUGUUCCUGUCACUUGCAAACAAAUACCACUGCUUGCUUUGGAGUAUGAGCCGCCAAGGACUAAAUCGUUUAAAACUGUUGAAGCAUCGUUAAGGGUUGAUGCAAUAGCUAGUGCAGGAUUCAAGAUAUCACGUUCGAAACUUGUUAACUUGAUCAGUUCUGGGGAUGUGCGGGUCAAUUGGUCGCCAGUAAUAAAAAAUGGAGCGAUGCUCAAGACAGGAGAUAUUGUUUCCAUCAAUGGGAAAGGGCGGUUGAAGGCAAGUCACAGACCUAUUUAGGCAUCAGCUUCUGCUCCUCAUUGACAUGAGUUGUUUAUAUGCAUUUACUCCAUCACAGCAUCAUUAUAUUCUCCGAUCGGGGAGAUCACAACAACAAGAAAAGGAAAAUAUGCGGUUGAGUUGAUUCGAUAUUUAUAGAGGUGUCAUAUUUGAUGAACAUUACUUUCUGUAGGGGAAACAUUGGUUGCUUGAAGGCAGUCCUGUAGCAACAGAAGAACUAUGGCUUUCCCCAUAUAAACUUUCCAAGGCGCAAACAGCUAAACUUUCUUUUGCUUGAUUGUGAUUUUUCUCCUCUCACUAAUAUCUUGUGCAAUAUUUUUAAGGAACAGUAGGUUGUUUCUAUUGGCUAAUCUUAACGAGUUCUUUCAGAUAGACUUAAA